rnacentral:rRNA from 1 species
GAGCGGCGGACGGGUGAGUAACGCGUGGGUAACCUGCCUCAUACAGGGGGAUAACAGUUGGAAACGGCUGCUAAUACCGCAUAAGCGCACAGUACCGCAUGGUACGGUGUGAAAAACUCCGGUGGUAUGAGAUGGACCCGCGUCUGAUUAGGUAGUUGGUGGGGUAACGGCCUACCAAGCCGACGAUCAGUAGCCGACCUGAGAGGGUGACCGGCCACAUUGGGACUGAGACACGGCCCAAACUCCUACGGGAGGCAGCAGUGGGGAAUAUUGCACAAUGGGGGAAACCCUGACGCAGCGACGCCGCGUGAGCGAUGAAGUAUUUCGGUAUGUAAAGCUCUAUCAGCAGGGAAGAAAAUGACGGUACCUGACUAAGAAGCCCCGGCUAACUACGUGCCAGCAGCCGCGGUAAUACGUAGGGGGCAAGCGUUAUCCGGAUUUACUGGGUGUAAAGGGAGCGUAGACGGCAUGGCAAGCCAGAUGUGAAAGCCCGGGGCUCAACCCCGGGACUGCAUUUGGAACUGUCAGGCUAGAGUGUCGGAGAGGAAAGCGGAAUUCCUAGUGUAGCGGUGAAAUGCGUAGAUAUUAGGAGGAACACCAGUGGCGAAGGCGGCUUUCUGGACGAUGACUGA